AACAGGAUUAGAUACCCUGGUAGUCCACGCCGUAAACGAUGUCGAUUUGGAGGUUGUGCCCUUGAGGCGUGGCUUCCGGAGCUAACGCGUUAAAUCGACCGCCUGGGGAGUACGGCCGCAAGGUUAAAACUCAAAUGAAUUGACGGGGGCCCGCACAAGCGGUGGAGCAUGUGGUUUAAUUCGAUGCAACGCGAAGAACCUUACCUACUCUUGACAUCCAGAGAACUUUCCAGAGAUGGAUUGGUGCCUUCGGGAACUCUGAGACAGGUGCUGCAUGGCUGUCGUCAGCUCGUGUUGUGAAAUGUUGGGUUAAGUCCCGCAACGAGCGCAACCCUUAUCCUUUGUUGCCAGCGGUUCGGCCGGGAACUCAAAGGAGACUGCCAGUGAUAAACUGGAGGAAGGUGGGGAUGACGUCAAGUCAUCAUGGCCCUUACGAGUAGGGCUACACACGUGCUACAAUGGCGUAUACAAAGAGAAGCGACCUCGCGAGAGCAAGCGGACCUCAUAAAGUACGUCGUAGUCCGGAUUGGAGUCUGCAACUCGACUCCAUGAAGUCGGAAUCGCUAGUAAUCGUAGAUCAGAAUGCUACGGUGAAUACGUUCCCGGGCCUUGUACACACCGCCCGUCACACCAUGGGAGUGGGUUGCAAAAGAAGUAGGUAGCUUAACCUUCGGGAGGGCGCUUACCACUUUGUGAUUCAUGACUGGGGUGAAGUCGUAACAAGGUAACC
rnacentral:rRNA from 1 species